rnacentral:rRNA from 1 species
UCCCCUAGUAACGGCGAGUGAAGCGGGAUGAGCUCAAAUUUGAAAUCUGGCUGGUUUACUAGUCCGAGUUGUAAUUUAAAGAAGCGUUUUCGGUGGCAGCCUGGGUAUAAAUCCUUUGGAAUAGGGUAUCAUAGAGGGUGAGAAUCCCGUCUUUGACCUAGUGCAUGCUACUAUGUGAUACGUUUUCAAAGAGUCGAGUUGUUUGGGAAUGCAGCUCAAAAUGGGUGGUAAAUUUCAUCUAAAGCUAAAUAUUGGCGAGAGACCGAUAGCGAACAAGUACCGUGAGGGAAAGAUGAAAAGAACUUUGAAAAGAGAGUUAAACAGUGCGUGAAAUUGUUGAAAGGGAAACGUUUGACACCAGUCAUGUGGGUGGAAAAUCAGUCUUUUGCAUUGGGGAGUUGUAAAGGUUCGGACCGCAAGGCCGGCUUUUGCUUCAUCUUUGGUGUAAGGGAUGCACUUUUUCAUCUACAGGUCAACAUCAGUUUCUUUUGCUGGACAAAACUCCGAGAGAAGGUAGCAGCUUAGGCUGUGUUAUAGCUCUGGAGCGAUACAGUGAAGGGGACUGAGGUUUUCGCAGCGUGUGCUCUCGGGC